rnacentral:rRNA from 1 species
GACGAACGCUGGCGGCGUGCUUAACACAUGCAAGUCGAACGGAAAGGCCCUGCUUUUGUGGGGUGCUCGAGUGGCGAACGGGUGAGUAACACGUGAGUAACCUGCCUUUGACUUUGGGAUAACUUCAGGAAACUGGGGCUAAUACCGGAUAGGUGCUCCUGCUGCAUGGUGGGGGUUGGAAAGUUUCGGCGGUUGGGGAUGGACUUGCGGCUUAUCAGCUUGUUGGUGGGGUAGUGGCUUACCAAGGCUUUGACGGGUAGCCGGCCUGAGAGGGUGACCGGCCACAUUGGGACUGAGAUACGGCCCAGACUCCUACGGGAGGCAGCAGUGGGGAAUAUUGCACAAUGGGCGGAAGCCUGAUGCAGCAACGCCGCGUGCGGGAUGACGGCCUUCGGGUUGUAAACCGCUUUCGCCUGUGACGAAGCGUGAGUGACGGUAAUGGGUAAAGAAGCACCGGCUAACUACGUG